GACGAACGCUGGCGGCGUGCUUAACACAUGCAAGUCGAACGGUCCUGUUUUUGAAGCGCUUCGGCGUGGAGGGAGCGGGUUAGUGGCGCACGGGUGAGUAAUGCGCGAGGACCUGCCCGCGGGAGGGGGACAGCAGUUGGAAACGGCUGGUGAUACCCCGUAAGCCGGGAGGUAAAAGGGCGGAGACGCCCGCCUGCGGAUGGACUCGCGUCCUAUCAGCUAGUUGGUGAGGCAACGGCUCACCAAGGCGACGACGGGUAGCCGGCCUGAGAGGGUGUCCGGCCACACUGGAACUGAGACACGGUCCAGACUCCUACGGGAGGCAGCAGUGGGGAAUUUUGGGCAAUGGGGGAGACCCUGACCCAGCGACGCCGCGUGAGGGACGAAGGCCCUUGGGUCGUAAACCUCUUUUGCAGGGGAAGAAGAAGAUGACGGUACCUUGCGAACAAGUCCCGGCUAAACUACGUG
rnacentral:rRNA from 1 species